rnacentral:rRNA from 1 species
GUGCCAGCCGCCGCGGUAAUACCGGGAGCUCGAGUGAAGACCGAUCUUAUUGGGCCUAAAGCGUCCGUAGCCGGCCGGGCAAGUCCGUCGGGAAAUCCACCAGCUCAACUGGUGGGCGCCCGGCGGAAACUGCUCGGCUUGGGACAGGAAGACCCGAGGGGUACGUCCGGGGGAGGAGUGAAAUCCCGUAAUCCUGGACGGACCGCCGAUGGCGAAAGCACCUCGGGAGGACUGAUCCGACGGUGAGGGACGAAAGCUGGGGUCUCGAACCGGAUUAGAUACCCCAGUAGUCC